AACGAACGCUGGCGGCAGGCUUAACACAUGCAAGUCGAACGCCCCGCAAGGGGAGUGGCAGACGGGUGAGUAACGCGUGGGAAUCUACCCAGAUCUUCGGAACAACUGAGGGAAACUUCAGCUAAUACCGGAUACGCCCUACGGGGGAAAGAUUUAUCGGUUCUGGAUGAGCCCGCGUUGGAUUAGCUAGUUGGUGGGGUAAUGGCCUACCAAGGCGACGAUCCAUAGCUGGUCUGAGAGGAUGAUCAGCCACACUGGGACUGAGACACGGCCCAGACUCCUACGGGAGGCAGCAGUGGGGAAUAUUGGACAAUGGGCGAAAGCCUGAUCCAGCCAUGCCGCGUGAGUGAUGAAGGCCUUAGGGUUGUAAAGCUCUUUCAGUAGGGAAGAUAAUGACGGUACCUACAGAAGAAGCCCCGGCUAACUUCGUGCCAGCCGCCGCCGUAA
rnacentral:rRNA from 1 species